GUAGGUGAACCUGCGGAAGGAUCAUUAACACGAAUUUAUUAUCCAAUAUCAAAACCAAACGUGAACUUAUAUUCUCCCUACAUUUUGACUCUCUUGAUUCAAGAGAUAUGAAUGUAGGCUAACCUUCAUAUCUUUCUAUAGAUAUGAACAUUUAAAUUUUUAACCCCUUUAACUUUAACUAGUUUUCAACAUUCAUUUCUAUGAUAUACUUGAAGACAACUAACUAAAAGAAAAACUACAAGGUUAUUCG
rnacentral:misc_RNA from 1 species